rnacentral:rRNA from 1 species
CCUACGGGGGGCAGCAGUAGGGAAUCUUCCACAAUGGGCGCAAGCCUGAUGGAGCAACACCGCGUGAGUGAAGAAGGGUUUCGGCUCGUAAAGCUCUGUUGUUGGAGAAGAACGUGCGUGAGAGUAACUGUUCACGCAGUGACGGUAUCCAACCAGAAAGUCACGGCUAACUACGUGCCAGCAGCCGCGGUAAUACGUAGGUGGCAAGCAUUAUCCGGAUUGAUUGGGCGUAAAGCGAGCGCAGGCGGUUGCUUAGGUCUGAUGUGAAAGCCUUCGGCUUAACCGAAGAAGUGCAUCGGAAACCGGGAGACUUGAGUGCAGAAGAGGACAGUGGAACUGCAUGUGUAGCGGUGGAAUGCGUAGAUAUAUGGAAGAACACCAGUGGCGAAGGCGGCUGUGUGGUCUGCAACUGACGCUGAGGCUCGAAAGCAUGGGUAGCGAACAGGAUUAGAUACCCGGGUAG